rnacentral:misc_RNA from 1 species
GAUGAAGAACGCAGCGAAAUGCGAUAAGUAAUGUGAAUUGCAGAAUUCAGUGAAUCAUCGAAUCUUUGAACGCACAUUGCGCCCGCCAGUAUUCUGGCGGGCAUGCCUGUCCGAGCGUCAUUUCAACCCUCGCGCCCAUCUGGGCUGCGGUGUUGGGGACCGGCCUGCCCCCCGGGGCGCGCCGCCCCCCAAAUUCAGUGGCGGUCUCGCUGCAGCCUCCCUUGCGUAGUAGCACACCUCGCACCGGAGCGCAGCGCGGCCACGCCGUAAAACCCCCGGCCCCCAUGAGUUUGACCUCGGAUCAGGUAGGAAUACCCGCUGAACUUAAGCAUAUCAAUAAGCGGAGGA